GGCCUACGGGAGGCUGCAGUGAGGAAUAUUGGACAAUGGAUGGAAAUCUGAUCCAGCCAUGCCGCGUGCAGGAAGACGGCCCUAUGGGUUGUAAACUGCUUUUGUAUGGGAGCAAUAAGGGCUACGUGUAGUCCGAUGAGAGUACCAUACGAAUAAGCAUCGGCUAACUCCGUGCCAGCAGCCGCGGUAAUACGGAGGAUGCGAGCGUUAUCCGGAUUUAUUGGGUUUAAAGGGUGCGUAGGCGGCGACAUAAGUCAGUGGUGAAAUAUUCCGGCUCAACCGGGAGACUGCCAUUGAAACUGUGUUGCUAGAAUAUGGUUGCUGUGGGUGGAAUGUGUGGUGUAGCGGUGAAAUGCUUAGAUAUCACACAGAAUAUCGAUUGCGAAGGCAGCUCACAAAGCCAUUAUUGACGCUGAGGCACGAAAGUGUGGGGAUCAAACAGGAUUAGAUACCCGAGUAGUCU
rnacentral:rRNA from 1 species